rnacentral:rRNA from 1 species
CCUACGUGUGGCAGCAGUGAGGAAUAUUGGUCAAUGGGCGCGAGCCUGAACCAGCCAAGUAGCGUGAAGGAUGACUGCCCUACGGGUUGUAAACUUCUUUUAUAAAGGAAUAAAGUGAGGCACGUGUGCCUUUUUGUAUGUACUUUAUGAAUAAGGAUCGGCUAACUACGUGCCAGCAGCCGCGGUAAUACGGAGGAUCCACGCGUUAUCCGGAUUUAUUGGGUUUAAAGGGUGCGUAGAUGGGUUGUUAAGUCAGUUGUGAAAGUUUGCGGCUCAACCGUAAAAUUGCAAUUGAUACUGGCAGUCUUGAGUACAGUUGAGGUAGGCGGAAUUCGUGGUGUAGCGGUGAAAUGCUGAGAUAUCACGAAGAACUCCGAUUGCGAAGGCAGCUUACUAAACUGCCACUGGCAUUGAUGCUCGAAAGUGUGGGUAUCAAACAGGAUUAGAUACCCCAGUAGUC